GACAGACGUUAUGGCUCACAAGCAGAUCUAGCGCUGACUAUAUUCAGAGUCUCUCAGUCAGACGCUGGUAGAUACGACUGCAGUGGAGCUACAGUGGAGCUCAUUGUGACUAAAGAGACUCUACAUCAGACUGAGAAAGAGGGAAACACUGUCGCUCUUAAAUGUGGAAGACUAACUAAAGGCCCAGUGACCUGGAGCAGAGACACCAACGGACAGAGAGUGGACAUUCUGACCACUCAUAAUGGAGAGACGACCAAACACAUCGCUGAUCCAGACAGACGUUACAACUCAAGGAAAGAUCUAGUGCUGAUUAUAUACGGAGUCUCUCAGUCAGACGCUGGUAGAUACGACUGCAGUGGAGCUACAGUGGAGCUCAGUGUGACAUCAGGAACCGGUUCUUCCAUUUGAGUGUGUGGAAAUGAAUAGAAAUGUCCAGC